rnacentral:rRNA from 1 species
CGUAGGGUGCGAGCGUUGUCCGGAUUUAUUGGGCGUAAAGAGCUCGUAGGCGGUUUGUCGCGUCGGCCGUGAAAUCUCCACGCUUAACGUGGAGCGUGCGGUCGAUACGGGCAGACUUGAGUUCGGUAGGGGAGACUGGAAUUCCUGGUGUAGCGGUGAAAUGCGCAGAUAUCAGGAGGAACACCGGUGGCGAAGGCGGGUCUCUGGGCCGAUACUGACGCUGAGGAGCGAAAGCGUGGGGAGCGAACAGGAUUAGAUACCCUGGUAGUCCACGCUGUAAACGUUGGGCGCUAGGUGUGGGCGACAUCCACGUUGUCCGUGCCGUAGCUAACGCAUUAAGCGCCCCGCCUGGGGAGUACGGCCGCAGGCUA